AGAGUUUGAUCAUGGCUCAGGACGAACGCUGGCGGCGCGCCUAACACAUGCAAGUCGAACGAGCGAGAGAGAGCUUGCUUUCUCGAGCGAGUGGCGAACGGGUGAGUAACGCGUGAGGAACCUGCCUCAAANAGGGGGACAACAGUUGGAAACGACUGCUAAUACCGCAUAAGCCCACGGUGCCGCAUGGCACAGAGGGAAAAGGAGCAAUCCGCUUUGAGAUGGCCUCGCGUCCGAUUAGCUAGUUGGUGAGGUAACGGCCCACCAAGGCAACGAUCGGUAGCCGGACUGAGAGGUUGAACGGCCACCAUUGGGACUGAGACACGGCCCAGACUCCUACGGGAGGCAGCA
rnacentral:rRNA from 1 species